UACAGAGGAUGCAAGCGUUAUCCGGAAUGAUUGGGCGUAAAGCGUCUGUAGGUGGUUUUUAAAGUCUUCUGUCAAAGAUCAGGGCUUAACCCUGGGCCGGCAGAAGAAACUUAAAAGCUUGAGUUCGGUAGGGGCAGAGGGAAUUCCCGGUGUAGCGGUGAAAUGCGUAGAGAUCGGGAAGAACACCAAUGGCAGAAGGCACUCGUCGCUGGGCCGCGACUGACACUGAAGAGGACGAAAGACGUAGGGGAGCAAACAGG
rnacentral:rRNA from 1 species